rnacentral:rRNA from 1 species
CGAGGAAUUUUCUGCAAUGGGCGAAAGCCUGACAGAGCAAUACCGCGUGAGGGAUGAAGGCCUAUGGGUUGUAAACCUCUUUUCUCAAGGAGGAAGAUAUGACGUUACUUGAGGAAUAAGCAUCGGCUAACCCUGUGCCAGCAGCCGCGGUAAUACAGGGGAUGCAAGUGUUAUCCGGAAUCAUUGGGCGUAAAGCGUCUGCAGGUUGACUUUUAAGUCUUUUGUUAAAGCUCUGGGCUUAACCUAGAAUAUGCAAAGGAAACUAUUUGUCUUGAGUAUGGUAGAGGUAAAGGGAAUUUCCAGUGGAGCGGUGAAAUGCUUAGAUAUUGGAAAGAACACCAACAGCGAAGGCACUUUACUGGGCCAGUACUGACACUGAGAGACGAAAGCUAGGGGAGCAAACGGGAUUAGAUACCCUCGUAGUCCCUGAGCGGGCUGGCAAGGCGCAU